rnacentral:misc_RNA from 1 species
GAUGAAGAACGCAGCGAAAUGCGAUACGUAAUGUGAAUUGCAGAAUUCAGUGAAUCAUCGAGUCUUUGAACGCACAUUGCGCCCCCUGGUAUUCCGGGGGGCAUGCCUGUCCGAGCGUCAUUGCUGCCCUCAAGCACGGCUUGUGUGUUGGGCUUCCGUCCUCCUCCCGGGGGACGGGCCCGAAAGGCAGCGGCGGCACCGCGUCCGGUCCUCGAGCGUAUGGGGCUUCGUCACCCGCUCUUGUAGGCCCGGCCGGCGCUUGCCGACACAUCAAUCUUUUUUCCAGGUUGACCUCGGAUCAGGUAGGGAUACCCGCUGAACUUAAGCAUAUCAAUAAGCGGAGGA